rnacentral:rRNA from 1 species
AGUGAACGCUGGCGGUAGGCCUAACACAUGCAAGUCGAACGGCAGCACAGUAAGGGCUUGCUCUUACGGGUGGCGAGUGGCGGACGGGUGAGGAAUACAUCGGAAUCUACUUUUUCGUGGGGGAUAACGUAGGGAAACUUACGCUAAUACCGCAUACGACCUACGGGUGAAAGCAGGGGAUCUUCGGACUUUGCGCGAUUGAAUGAGCCGAUGUCGGAUUAGCUAGUUGGCGGGGUAAAGGCCCACCAAGGCGACGAUCCGUAGCUGGUCUGAGAGGAGGAGCAGCCACACUAGAACUGAGACACGGUCCAGACUCCUACGGGAGGCAGCAGUGGGGAAUAGUAGACAAUGGGCGCAAUCCUGAUCCAGCCAUACCGCGUGGGUGAAGAAGGCCUUCGGGUUGUAAAGGCCUUUUGUUGGGAAAGAAAAGCAGCAGGUUAAUACCGCGCUGUUCUGACGGUACCCAAAGAAUAAGCACCGGCUAACUUCGUG